rnacentral:rRNA from 1 species
AUUGAACGCUAGCGGGAUGCUUUACACAUGCAAGUCGAACGAGUGGCGGACGGGUGAGUAAUAGAUCGGCACGUGACCAGUAGCGGGGGAUAACUACCCGACAGAGUGGCUACUACCGCAUACUAUUGGCGCGGUCGGUGUCGGACUAGCGAGUCGGUGGGGCAAAGGCGCACCAAGGCAACGAUCCGUAGCUGGUUUGAGAGGACGACCAGCCACACUGGGACUGAGACACGGUCCAGACUCCUACGGCAGGCAGCAGUGGGGAAUUUUGGACAAUGGGGGAAACCCUGAUCCAGCCAUCCCGCGUGUAUGAGAAGGCCUUCGGGUUGUAAAGUACUUUUGGCAGAGAAGCGGUAUCUACAGAAUAAGCACCGGCUAACUACGUGCCAGCGGCCGCGGUAAUAC